UACGUAGGGGGCGAGCGUUGUCCGGAAUGACUGGGCGUAAAGGGAGUGUAGGCGGCAUAUUAAGUUAUGUGUGAAAGCCCGCGGCUCAACCGCGGAAUUGCACAUAAAACUGGUAAGCUGGAGUGCAGGAGAGGUAAGUGGAAUUCCCGGUGUAGCGGUGGAAUGCGUAGAUAUCGGGAGGAACACCAGAGGCGAAGGCGACUUACUGGACUGUAACUGACGCUGAGGCUCGAAAGCGUGGGGAGCAA
rnacentral:rRNA from 1 species